rnacentral:rRNA from 1 species
UACGGGGGGGGGCAAGCGUUGUUCGGAAUUACUGGGCGUAAAGGGCUCGUAGGUGGCCAACUAAGUCAGACGUGAAAUCCCUCAGCUUAACUGGGGAACUGCGUCUGAUACUGGAUGGCUUGAGUUUGGGAGAGGGAUGCGGAAUUCCAGGUGUAGCGGUGAAAUGCGUAGAUAUCAGGAGGAACACCGGUGGCGAAGGCGGGUCUCUGGGCCGUAACUGACGCUGAGGAGCGAAAGCGUGGGGAGCGAACAGG